UCUAUUUUCUUUCUUUAAUUCUUUUAUUCAUUUUUUAUUCUGUUUUGAUUUAAUUAAUAAAAAAUAUUUUAUUUAUUCAUAAAAAUACCAAAAAAUAUAUUUUACAUUCUUUAAUGUUUUAUUUAAUUUAUUUAAUUUUUAUUUUCUUAUUUUAUUUAAUGUUAAUAUUUUAUUUCAAUUAUUUAUUUCAAAUAGUCCUUUUAAGUACACUUUUUUUUAUUUUUUUUAUUUACAUGACUUAAAAUUAUUUUUAGAUUCUGAUUUUUGGGAUGAGGGUUGAC
rnacentral:lncRNA from 1 species